UUCAUCUGAACACAGCGAAGUUCCGAAUUUUUUCUAAAUAUCUACUCCAGAUUUAUGUUAAACGAACUGCUUAUUGACAAUUAGGUUGAAUUUACUUACUACUUUAUUUCAUCACUUGUUUUCACGUUGUUAAGCUUAUGUUAUUUGUGCUCCCACCAAUACGAAUUAAGCUUUAGUAACUUUUAUGUCCUUAUUUCCACCAUACUUUAUUGAUGGUUUUUAUAUUAUGUUACUUGCUUUAUGUUUUAUAUUUGUGAUUAUAUAUGUCAUACUGUAAUCGAAUAGAAUAACUGUAUUUAGCCAAUCAAAAGUAUGUAUGACUUUUGAUUGGCUCAAUAAAGUUAUUAUAUUCUAUUCUACUAAACUUGGAGACAGUUAGUAAAAUUACAAUAAUUUGUAUAUCUAAGAACUGUUUUUAGAUUUUAGUGGUUCAUUUGAAACUGCUUGUUGCUGGCGGAGUUUGGGCGGCCCGAAAGUGUACUCGGGCAACUUCCUCCAGCGACUGACCAAAAGGGACACAAUGUAUUGGAAUCACACACGGAUUUUCACAAAAGGAAAUCUUUGAAUGUUUGUCCCCUCUUGCCGCUGGACGCACGUGUGACCCUACUCUCACCAACGUGGAGGCUUGCCAAACAGGACUCAGCUGCCAGGAAGACAAAUGUGACAAGAAAGGGCGCAAUUGUAGAUACACCUGUCAGCCAUUCGAACAACCAUUUAUGACCUGUACGAGUAGUAUCUGGGCAUCACGUUAUGAAUACACGGAGGAAGGAGCCUCGGUGAACGGAACGAUUACCGGAAUAAACCCCCUUCGGAAGAAACCCCCUUCGCUA